GGAUGUGAGGGUGAUCUGGCUGUGACAUCUGUCACCCCAUUGAUCACCAGUGUUGAUUCGGCUGAUCUGGCUGGCUAGGCGAGUGUCCCCUUCCUCCCUCAUCACUCCAUAUGCUUCCCUUCCAAAGCUGCAUGCUCGGUUGAAGAGGAAGUCCUUCCCCGAAUAGAGACUGACAGUAUAUGAGUAGCUGUGCUCCCCUGCUAUAAACUCCAAAUAAGCUCUCAAGGUCCUAGUUGACCAGUGAGAGGAGACUAGUUUUCUAUUUCUACUUCAAAUAAAUUACUAUUAAUUCAGAAUCUUAAACAUAAAU
ensembl:misc_RNA 7SK 7SK RNA